rnacentral:lncRNA from 1 species
UUUUGGAGCUGACCAGGAUGAUUCUUUUAUCUGAACUAUUGACCAUUUCUUUCCUGUGAGAUGCAGGGGAUGGAAACGAAAUUAAACAGUGCCUGUGGCAAAUGCUGCUUCCCAACCAAUUAGAAGUAGGAGUGAAAACAUCCACACCAGGUCUCCUAGUAGGACAAGGAAAGCCCAGCAAGCACAACCACAUGGCAGAGACUGAGAAGGAGGAAGUGAGCAAUGGCUGGCGGCUCCAGAAGCUGAAUCCCUGGACAGCUGGUUUCCCAUUAAAAUCUACGACCGACUGUAUCAGUUAAUUUACUUGUACGUGUCCUCUCUGCUGUCUCCUUACCCUGCUCCCCUACACCAUGUAUUUCCUUCCUUUACCGUUUCCUCCUUGGAAUUGUGCUGUGUUUCAUUGUCCUGGAGGACAGAAGAGCAGGUUAAGGCAUGAGCAUGUGUGUAUCACUUUGAAGAAAGAGAAACCAGGUAUUCUGCUACAGUUUGGAGAAAAACCCAAUGAAGGAAGAAAUGAAAGCUGGCUCUGCAGAGUGCCUUAAAAAUGACUUUAAUUAGGAAAUUCUGAGUUGUCGGUCUUCAGAUGUUACAUAAACUCAAACAGAUGUUGCAUUUCACUUCUCUGGGAUUAAAAAAAGUUAAAUACAGUGUGUAUUCAACAACAACAACAAAAUAUGUUUUCUCUUUAAUUUGGUCCUCAAAGAUGCAGUGCCUGGUUUUCUACAAAACCUGGGGAUGUCCCCAGGAACAAGCAAGCUCUGGAACAU